rnacentral:tRNA from 1 species
GGUGCGGUGGGACAGUGGUUACUCCGGCGAUUUACUAUGUCGCUGCCAUUUGGCUCCUGGGUUCAAAUCCCAGUCGCACCU